AGUGGCGAACGGGUGAGUAAUACAUCGGAACGUGCCCAGUAAUGGGGGAUAGCUCGGCGAAAGCCGGAUUAAUACCGCAUACGCCCUGAGGGGGAAAGUGGGGGACCGCAGGGCCUCACGUUAUUGGAGCGGCCGAUGGCUGAUUAGCUAGUUGGUAGGGUAAAGGCCUACCAAGGCGACGAUCAGUAGCUGGUCUGAGAGGACGAUCAGCCACACUGGGACUGAGACACGGCCCAGACUCCUACGGGAGGCAGCAGUGGGGAAUUUUGGACAAUGGGGGAAACCCUGAUCCAGCAAUGCCGCGUGUGCGAAGAAGGCCUUCGGAUUGUAAAGCACUUUUGUCAGGGAAGAAAUCCUUUGGGCUAAUACCCUAGGGGGAUGACGGUACCUGAAGAAUAAGCACCGGCUAACUACGUGCCAGCAGCCGCGGUAAUACGUAGGGUGCAAGCGUUAAUCGGAAUUACUGGGCGUAAAGCGUGCGCAGGCGGUUGUGUAAGACAGGUGUGAAAUCCCCGGGCUUAACCUGGGAAUUGCAUUUGUGACUGCACGACUAGAGUGUGUCAGAGGGGGGUGGAAUUCCACGUGUAGCAGUGAAAUGCGUAGAUAUGUGGAGGAACACCAAUGGCGAAGGCAGCCCCCUGGGAUAACACUGACGCUCAUGCACGAAAGCGUGGGGAGCAAACAGGAUUAGAUGCCCUGGUAGUCCACGCCCUAAACGAUGUCAACUAGUUGUUGGGG
rnacentral:rRNA from 1 species